AUAACACUGUCAACAGUGUAGAGACUUGGUGGAUGUGUUUUCAUCUCUCUAGGACGAUGGCAGAUGUAGAAUGUUGCUCUAGAAAUUUUUCCCAGGGAAAUAGCAUUAAUGCCAGGAAUCAUGACGACCUCAGGAAAAGAGAAUUUCCGACUGAAGAGCUACAAGAACAAAUCUCUAAACCCUGAUGAGAUGCGUCGCAGGCGGGAAGAAGAGGGUCUUCAGCUACGGAAGCAAAAGAGAGAGGAACAGUUGUUUAAACGCCGAAAUGUUGCAACAGCUGAGGAAGAAGCGGAGGAGGAAGUGAUGUCAGAUGGUGGCUUCCAUGAGGCUCAGAUGAACAACAUGGAGAUGACUUCUAGUGCAGUCAUCACUUCUGAUAUGAUUGAGAUGAUUUUCUCCAAUAGCCCAGAACAGCAGCUUUCAGCCACCCAGAAAUUCCGAAAGCUUCUUUCUAAAGAACCAAAUCCCCCAAUAGAUGAAGUCAUAAGCACACCAGGAGUGGUGGCCAGGUUUGUGGAGUUCCUCAAACGAAAAGAAAACUGUACAUUACAGUUUGAAGCUGCAUGGGUGCUGACAAAUAUUGCCUCGGGAAAUUCCCUUCAGACUCGAAUAGUGAUCCAAGCAGGAGCCGUCCCCAUCUUCAUAGAGCUGCUUAGUUCGGAGUUUGAAGACGUACAGGAACAGGCAGUAUGGGCUCUUGGCAACAUUGCUGGAGACAGCACUAUGUGCAGAGACUAUGUAUUGGACUGUAAUAUCCUGCCCCCUUUAUUGCAAUUGCUUUCAAAACAGAAUCGUCUCACUAUGACCCGAAAUGCUGUAUGGGCUCUAUCCAACCUCUGCAGAGGGAAAAAUCCUCCACCAGAUUUUGCCAAGGUUUCGCCUUGUCUUAGUGUGCUUUCCUGGCUGCUCUUUGUCAAUGAUACAGAUGUAUUAGCUGAUGCCUGCUGGGCUUUGUCCUAUUUGUCUGAUGGCCCCAAUGAUAAAAUCCAGGCUGUGAUCGAUGCAGGAGUAUGCAGAAGACUUGUGGAAUUGCUGAUGCACAAUGACUACAAAGUUGUAUCUCCUGCCUUACGAGCUGUUGGGAACAUUGUCACAGGAGAUGAUAUCCAGACCCAGGUAAUUCUGAAUUGUUCAGCCCUGCAGAGUUUACUGCACUUGCUAAGCAGCCCAAAAGAAUCUAUCAAAAAGGAAGCAUGCUGGACAAUAUCUAAUAUAACAGCUGGAAACAGAGCCCAGAUCCAGACAGUCAUAGAUGCCCAUAUCUUUCCAGCUCUUAUAAAUAUUUUGCAAACGGCUGAGUUUCGGACAAGGAAGGAAGCUGCUUGGGCAAUCACAAAUGCAACAUCUGGAGGCUCUGCUGAACAGAUUAAGUAUUUAGUAGAACUGGGUUGCAUCAAACCACUCUGUGACCUUCUUACAGUAAUGGACUCAAAGAUUGUGCAAGUAGCACUGAAUGGGCUGGAGAACAUCCUGAGACUUGGAGAGCAGGAAUCCAAACGCAGUGGCACUGGCAUUAAUCCUUACUGCGCUCUUAUUGAAGAAGCAUAUGGCCUGGACAAGAUUGAAUUCCUGCAGAGCCAUGAGAAUCAAGAGAUUUAUCAGAAGGCCUUUGAUCUGAUCGAGCACUACUUUGGAACAGAGGAUGAAGACAGCAGCAUUGCCCCACAGGUGGAUCUCAACCAGCAACAGUACAUCUUCCAGCAGUGUGAGGCUCCCAUGGAAGGCUUCCAGCUCUGAGGCUAGUGAAAACAAUGUGGUGCAUUGGCGUUUCCCUCCCCUGCCCCCCAAGAAAAUAAUGACAAUUGCCUCUAAAUGAGUGGAUUAAAAAAGAGUCCAUUUAAGCUGAAUGGUGUGCCUUCCUGUGUAAGGAGCCUGGCCAGUGUUUGUUACUUUUGCUGUGGAUAUGUGAAUUCAGAACAGAUAAGUAUAAAUCUUUAAACUUGGUAUGUUUGUUUGAAGUGACAGGCCUGGUUGACACAGGUAGUAUUGUUGUCCUAUAUACUUAGACUGUGUAAGGCAUUUGACUGGUACUGCAUAAUAUUUUGACUGAAAACUAAAACAAUACAAAAAUCAACAUGGCACACAUUAAAUGGAUUAAAAUGUGGCUAACUCAUAGGUCUCAAUUUAAUUUUAAAUGGUGCUUAAUUGAGUGUAUUUCCAUCAGGUUCUUCCUUCCAGCAACCAGUUCUUGUCUUUGCUUUACUUAGCCUUAUUAAUAGGUUGAAAAGAAACAAAAUCUACUUCUAACAAAGGCUGCAAAUUAUAUGAGUACAGAAGGGAAAUCAGACUUGUGAGUUACGAAAGGAACGGCUCACUGAUACAGACUGAUCAGAAUUACUUGGUAAGCCAAGGGCAAGUGAACUAUUUGCAUUUUAAUAGAGCCAAAUGUCUAGUGCAACAUUACCCAUCUAAUAAAUAACAUUCAGGCCACAGGUGAAGGACUCUGUUUUGGAGGAAAAGUGCCGCUGAAAGAGUAUGAAGAUCAUUAUACAUUAUCGCUUGAACACUACUUCCUAACACGAUUCUGUGUGGCUCGUGUAAUGCUCACAGGUACAAAAAGAAAUUGGCAUUGAUUAAACUCUUCUUUACAGGAACGCUCUCAGUGUUGCUAUCAGCAGUUAAAAAGGGAUGCUAAAAAAUUUGGAACAGCAACAACUGUAAAAAGAUUGUAAGUUCUAUUGAGAUGAGAAACGAGGCACUCUUCUUUUUAGACUGACAUGGGAGUAACAAGGCUUAUGUCCCUUGCUAGAAACACUGAAACCAGUAUUCUCUGCUUUCCUGCAGGAUGUGCUGCUGCUCAAACAGGAACUAUCUCAGAGAACACCUCUAGCUUCCACUUUUGUGAAGGUCACACUGUGUUCUUGUUUUGCGUGUGAGUAGGAGGCAGCGUGGUCUCAUGUGUAGAGCGUAGGCCAGGUAGCUGUUGGGGUUCUUGGGUUCUUCUCUUAGCUGUGCCAUGCAGUGUGUAGUGCCAGAAAAGUGAUCUCUCAUAUUUUUUAAUUGCCUUAUCCUGAAAAUUUAAAUUAAUGCAUUUGUUUCUGUCUGCUUGCGGAGAUCCAGUCUAAACACCUUCCAAAAGCCCCACAAGCUGGUGAGGUGAAAAGAUUAAUGAGAACCAGGAAUCUCUUGAGUUCUACUUGCAGCAUCAGUAAUGAGGUGAAACUACUACAGUAAGGUUUUAACAAUGUCUAAUUUUAAACUGGGCAUUAGAGAAAGGAAGAUGCCGGACUACCAGGAAUUGUUAUCCGACUGUCCUGUCCACAGAUCUGUAAUGCCUUUUAAGCGUUGCGUAUUUGUUGAGGCAGCAAACGGGAGCUAUCACUCUUCUAUUGGUAAAGUUCCCAGUGGAAUGUGGCAGGCAGGGUCACUCUCUCUUGGAUUCAGGAGGAUGCAACAGAUGAUGGGGCAGAAAGUUAUUGAAAGCUCACUAAGCCAGGACCAGUGCUUUGGGCUCCUGGGAAGAUAGCACACACGCAAACAAUCAUUUGAGCCAACUGCUGCCUAGAGACUUCAGCCAGUUCUUAAAUUCCUGUGCUGGUUCCUUGAUGCCAACCAGCUACUGAUGGUCAAAGUCCCUUCACUUAGUCUUAAGGGAAGGGAGGAAGGCACUAACCCCAGAAAACCUACGUGUUCUUGAACCUGCAUUUCUAUAACUCUCAGCACUGAGACUAUUAAGAACCAAAUCCCACCACCCAGUCCUAAAUGUGACAAUGCUCCUGGUGAUGCACCUCUGUGCUUCCCCGAGGAUUUUCCACAACAGCUAUCUUACCUCUGUGCGAGCUUUAAGUAAUGCCCUGUGUCUUCCUGUAUGAUUUCUUUGCUUCUGGGAUUGGCACAACACAUCAUUAGUACUUUCCCAUGCCAGUUUUAGCCAGUAGACAUGAAGAUCUUAGAGGAAAAUAAACAGGACCUUUUUAUGUACUACUACGGCCCCAUCCAUGGGGUUCCUGCAUGCUCUUUUGAGGCAGUGUUAAAGUUGUCAGAUUGAUUGUUGUAUUGGGAAGCAUCUGUUGCUUCUGGAACAGGUACAGCAAUAUGACAUAUGGUAUAGGAUUGAUAAUUUGACUUUUUUUGAAUGAACAUGAAUGGUGUUGCAGACCAAGCCAAAAGGAAGAAAGAAAAAUGAAAACUGUUCUAAGGGCUUAGUAUGUUCUUCUCCAUCAGGCGCUGCUGAAAGGGUGCAGGCUAAAGCUAUGAACUAAUCGGGUGAUACAAGGUGUAUUAAGUUCUCCAGUCAGUUAGACUGGCUGCUUAGGCCAGAGACACGUGCUGGUUUUUAACCAUUGUCUGUGUUUAGAAGUGCUUUCUUGGAAGCCAUCGUGCUAGGAAGGAGGUGGUUUCUUUCACUGCCUCCCCGAGAAAGAUUGGUAUCCUUUUUCUAGUAUGCAACUACUUGCAAAUGUUUGGGAGCGAGCUGGAGACGGCACAAAGCCCAAGGGCUCAGGCUCUUAUUUGAGGCUCUGGAACCGAUAUGGAAGUUGAAAGAAAACACAAAUGUGCGCAGUGAUGCAUGGGUUUUAUGGUAGAUCUUGAAAUGGUGGUGGUACCAAGGUGAUGGAAGGAAGGACUUCUGCAUGGAGCUCCUGUCAAACCACUGGACCAGAGUUCAAUUUUUGAGUAAACUCAAAAAAAAUUAUAUAAAUUUAAGUAAAAUGAAAAACUGGUGACCACUGCUUCUCUGGGGUGUUGCUUUCUAAGUGUUAUUUUACAGAUUUUUAUUUGAAAUGCUUUACCAGCUGGAUGAGUCCAAGUAGUUUUAUUUCCAAAACUAGACUGAGGUGCCUGCCAGUUCUAUUCAGAGAGUGUACUUGGAGGUGCUUAUUGAAAGGGGAGUAUCUUUCAGAAAUGCACAUUUUUAAGCUCUGCCAUCACAAAGUAUAAAUCAAAUCACGAGUUUCUCUUCAUGGUAACCUGAAAUACUGUCUGAAGUGCACGUUCUCCUUUUUUUGUCUCAUUUAAUACAUAAAUGAGCACAGGCACACAAUCUGGGAAUGUUUUUUGGUUCCCACCUGUAUGCUUACUAGUGUGGCAAAGAACCACAGUGGUCAUGAAAGAUCUGUUCACAUACCUGCAGUAGUGGAAUUAAGUGUGACUUACAUUCACUGCUAAAUGAGCAGACAAAUCUGUGGCAGCCUGCUCUGUUUGACAGCAUACGUGUGAUAAUUGCCUUACAGAAAAUCUGGUAACAGGUCAUGGUGUCAUAUGAAGUUUAUAGCUUCAGUGGUGAAAUGACUGCACAGCUUGUUUGAUGGGUUGCAUCUCAUCAAUACAAGGGGUACCCAGAAAUGCAAUUCAUAAAAAGGUGGACUGCAGGAGUUAUUUUCUCGCUCUAGAGGAAAGAACAAAGUACUAGAGAACACUGCAGUAGAUACCUUAUCGCUUCUCUUUUCUAGGUAUAAAGAGAAGAUUUACCCUGCAUUUUUUAGUAGACUUUUAAUUUUUUUAAGCAAUCGUGCUGUUUUUUAGUGGUAAAAGAAAAAUAAUCAGGAAAAAGUUUAAAAAAGAAAAAAUUCUGCCUCCUACUAUGAGGAAGUUCACAAACUUAAUCUGUCAAACACACCGCCUCUUCUGUUUGUGGUGUCCCCAGUGGCCAGUUAGCAGAGAGUCCUGCGAAGUAGCAGAGUUUGAAACAGUCCUGACAGUCCCACUCUACAUUUCCUUCCAAACGAACUGAAAGGAGGAGGAAAAAUACUGGUCUCCAGUUGCUACAGGCUGUUCAGCAUGAGCAGUAUGUGACUCUUCUGGGAUGAAUGCCAGAAAUAGGACUGUUGGGAGUUGCUCUUUGCAAGUAUGACUGGAUCUGCUGCUUCUAAAACUUGAGGCAGACAAUCUUUAAGUGAGCUAGUAUGAGGAAAGCAGAAAUGACAGUUUAAAGGGGCAAAAACAAAAAUCCAAAUGUGGUUUGGAAAAAGCUCUGCAGCAGAGAGCAGGAACGCCUGAUUGACUGCCACACUCGUGCUUCUAAAUAGUAAAUCUGAUAGCAUAGGUUGAAGCUUUUGCUCAGUGUUCCUCAAAAUACUUGUCUCUGUUCCAUUCGUUUGGACAUUCUCACAUCUCACCACCAGCUCUGGUGUAAAAGCCAUUAGGCUACUGUCUGCAACACACUGGUUCUCUGGAAUGCCAUUUCACUAUCGCUCCCCCUUCUGUUUUUAUCAAAGGCAGGCAGUUUUUCACAAAAAGUAAUCCUUCACAAAUGCAGCCAGAAUAUAUUAGACCUCAAACAGGUAAGCAGACUUUCUAAUAACUUAUGAUCAUUUUGAUAUUAAUGCAAGUCAUAUGAUUAUUCCUGACACAAGGACUGCCCUAAUAAUUACUGUCUCUUACAGAAGGAGGAACACAUGGAAUAUUUUAGGCAGCCUGUAACAAUAUAGAAUACACAUAGCACUGUUCUUCCUGAAAGGACCUGGAAUAGUCAGUGAUAGCAGACUGCUGCCCAGCACAGUGUUGCAGCAUGUAGAGAGAGGCAGUGAACCCCAUCGGCCCAAGGAGCAUUCACCUGCCUACCAGAUCCUCACAACAGAAGUUACUCCUUCCUUUCAAACUCUCACAGCCCAUCAGCAAAAUUAAAGAGUUAAAACAGCACAAGCUAAAAUUAAGUAUUGCACUGAGAAAAAAAAAAAGACUUUUUUUCCUUUUAAAGGAUGCAUAUGCAGUCUAACAGUGACAUCACCCUUUUCUGACUUGGAAAUUAAUCAAUAUGGGUCACUUCUGGGGAACCAGGAGGACUUCUUUUUAAUUUUUCUCAGUGAUAAAGUGAAAAAACCACCACCACCAAAAAACCAAACCCAAACAGUACUAACAAUCCAUAGGAGGAACUAAGGAUUUUAUGUGAAAAUUGAUUUGCACUCACCAGCCAAAAAUCUGUGCUUACCUGCUUC